UCAAUUCGGCGGCUGCGUCCUUCGAAGGACGCGUUUUAAGGCCGGUGACGUCACAGCGAUGCGCGGAGGCUGUCCCAUUUGGCCAAAAUUUUGAGGAUGCUUAGAAUGCAGCCUUCAAAUGCGUCCUCCUUUUCCCCGAAUUCUGAGGAUGCAUCGCUACCAUCCUUAGUGGCCUCGCCUGCCAUAAGAUUUCCCGAGGUGCUUUGCUCGCUUUUUUUUUUUUAGUAGUUGAAGAAAAAAAAGAAAGAAGGCGGAUUUUCAUCAAGACUGGAAAGCAGCAGCGGCGCUGGCAGUAGUGCUGAGUACAGCUUUAAAUGGAGCAGGGAGCAUACAGAGGAGUUGAUAAAACUCCGUGGGCAAAAUGACCACCUCUUUACCAGGGCCAAAAAUACUGCCACAGUCUGAUGGAGGUAAGAGUUGAGACAUAAUUCCAUAUACAUGUUGCAUUUGUAUGUAAAAGUCACACAAGUUCAAAGAAGUCCUGUUCAAACACCAACGUACAAAUAUAAUCUUUUGAUCACAUCAAAUGAUGCCCAGAUGUCACUUUUUUUAAUCUUAUAGUUGUGAUAGUAGUGAUCCUUGUGUGUUUAUCUCUUCUCAUUUCUCUUGUUUAGAACAAUCCUGCAAAAAACGGGUCUGGAGGGUGAAGUUGAGCCACAACAGGCCAGAAAAAAGUGGGACAACUUGAAAAAAAAAAAUACAAAGGAUGUUCAGGAAUGCAAAGAUCCAGGGACAGGCAGGGGGUCAG